ACAGUGAUCAGGUUACGACGGAU
rnacentral:miRNA from 1 species